GGGAGAUUCUCCCUGGGAUUUUCAGGAGAAGGGAGCUAAAUUCACUUCAGGGACCUCCAGAAGUGAAAUACACACUCUUUGGAGUCAAACUGGGCUGAACACAACCGAUGACCUACAAUGUCCCCAGUUGAACCCGAAGGAAAUGUGCCAAUGACGAAGACCAGCCUGGACCUCCAAAAGCCACAGCCUAGGAGCACAGUACCUGGUGCACAGAAGGACCUACCUCAAUUCAAUUAAAGUGACUAAUAGAGCCGGCAGCAUUUGCCCUGGAAUAGGCAGAUACGCUACUGGAUACAUGGAAUAUAAAAGUGAAGAAUACAGCAGACUCCUUCCUUCCUUCAAACAGAAGAAUCUGUUUUGAAAUACAUGGCUAAGUCUACAAAGUUACUUAUUAAA